rnacentral:rRNA from 1 species
AUUGAACGCUGGCGGCAGGCUUAACACAUGCAAGUCGAGCGGUAACAGGGAGUAGCUUGCUACUCUGCUGACGAGCGGCGGACGGGUGCGUAACGCGUAUGGAACCUACCCACCGCAGGGGGAUAACCCGCCGAAAGGCGGACUAAUACCCCAUGGUUCCCCGACCCUGCCUGGGGUUGGGGGUAAAGCCUACGGGCGGCGGUGGAUGGCCCUGCGUGCCAUUAGCUGGCUGGUGGGGUAACGGCCCACCAGGGCGACGAUGGCUAGGGGGUCUGAGAGGACGAUCCCCCACACUGGUACUGAGACACGGACCAGACUCCUACGGGAGGCAGCAGUGGGGAAUAUUGCACAAUGGGGGAAACCCUGAUGCAGCGACGCCGCGUGGAGGAAGAAGGUCUUCGGAUUGUAAACUCCUGUUGUUGAGGAAGAUAAUGACGGUACUCAACAAGGAAGUGACGGCUAACUACGUG